rnacentral:rRNA from 1 species
AUUGAACGCUGGCGGCAGGAUUAACACAUGCAAGUCGAGCGGAGCGGCGGACGGGUGAGUAAUGACUAGGACACUGCCCGGUAGCGGGGGAUAACGUCCGGAAACGGGCGCUAAUACCGCAUACUAUCAGAUGAGCCUACGUCGGAUUAGCUAGUUGGUGGGGUAAAGGCCUACCAAGUCGACGAUCCGUAACUGGUCUGAGAGGGUGAUGAGUCACACUGGAACUGAGACACGGUCCAGACUCCUAGGGUAGGCAGCAGUGGGGAAUAUUGGACAAGGGGCGAAAGCCUGAUCCAGCCAUGCCGCGUGUGUGAAGAAGGUCUUCGGAUUUUAAAGCACUUUAAGUUGGGAGGCGUUACCAACAGAAUAAGCACCGGCUGACUUCGUGCCAGCCGCCGCGGUAAUAC